GAAGGUACAGCAUCCCAGCAGCCAAGAGAAAGAACAGUCAACAAAGCUGAAGCCUUCAGAAAGGCCAGACAAGGGAAGGAUAGAGAAGACCUGGGCACAUAUUGUAGGGCACAGGUAUCAUUGUUCACCUCUGGAUGAGCAGUUUUAAUAGAAGAGGAGAAGUUGAAGCCAAACAGUAUUGGUUGGAGGUGUGGUGGCUGUCCUGUCUGAAAGCCUGACUAUGAAAGAAUGAAGCAGAAGGGAAAUAGCUGGAACUAAAACAGGUUGUAGUACAAAUAAGUGAGUCACAUUUCUUUGCCUUCCAUGUGGCAUUAACUUUACCAUGUGUACUCUGAAGGGAAGGUACUCUAAUGGGGAGGAAUGAGGUGGGCCAAUAAUGAGAGUGAGGUUCCUGGGGGAUGGGAUGGCAGAGCACAGGUGUGGAGGACCUGGACAAUGAAAAAGAAGGAUGUAUGGAGAGAACUGGUUACAAACAGUGAGUAAGGGAGUUUGAAGGUCUUAUCUGAUGACAUCUGUUUUCUCCGAGAACUAGGAUAUAAAGUCUCUGCAAGUGGCAAGGGACACAAGGGCAGUAGAGGAUGGCACACCCCCUAGGAAGGAUUAUAGGAGGGUACUGCUCAGGGAGAUGCAAGGUAAUUUUUGCAUCAAUGGCUCAGCUGAAAAGGGAGACUGUCACUUGUGUGAUAAUUGUAGUCUGUAAAGUCUGAGGGAAAGAAAAUUUGCCAGGGUGCUUCUUAGGCCCUGUGACGAAGGGCAGCUGGUCUCCAAUUGCCUGAAAUUUCUACAAGUUAAUCUCCAAAUGUAACCAUAGGGAUUAGUUAGUAGGGAGACUGAGUGUGUUUUAAAGCACCAGCCAAGCAGAGUCAUCCCAUUUUAUAGAGGAUAAGGAAUUUCAUGUUCUAAAACAGUGUAGUAGUUAAUUAGGAAAAUAAUGGAAUUUCUGUUGGAACAUCUGUAUCACAUGUGUUUCACAUGGUUUGGGUGUCGUAUUACAUGUGUGGAAGGCAUUCUGGCAGGGAUGGUGGUAACCCUAACGCAGCUGGUUUUCCUCCAGGCAAGAACCAACUACAUCAUGUGUCUGAGAUCUUUUUUUACAAAAGCAACACUUAGUGCUAAAAACUCAUUAUUUCUAAGGUACCAUUAGAUUUAUUUUUAAUUUUUUAUUUUGCCUUCAUUAAACAUCAGUUUGGAGUAGCCACAAUUACAGAAACCUUUAAGAUUUUUGUGGGUAUUAAAAAUAAAGGUUUUGCCAGGUGCCUAACAGGCACAUAGUAGUCAUUUAAAAAAUAGCAAUAGUUUUUCUUACUCACUGAUUAUUUGUGAAAGCAUAAAACGAGCCAGAAUUUUGAAUCCUGUUUGUAGAAGCCUUGGGUGAUUUGGCCAAGCAGUCUAACCUUGGAAAUAGCACGGAGUCAGAUGUGGACUUUAGAGGCAGUCAGCCCUUGGUUUGACUCCUUGACUUAAUAACAAGGUGACCCUAGAAGCUUAUUUAACCUUUGAAUUUCCUUUUCCUUAGAUGUAAAAAGAGAAUGUAUACUAUGUGCUUUGUAGACUAUUUGGGAGAUUAAAUGAAAGUAUGUAUAAGUUCUGAAAUACCUAGAAUUGAGUAGGUAUUCAGUAGAUUCAAUAUAUGUUUGUUCCCCCUCAUUCUUUUCUGUUCUUUACCUGCCUUCCAUGAUGCAUUUGUCAAUAGAAAGGUACUAUAAAUUCUUGAGCAAAGUGACAGCAGUACACAGAAUGGGUAUGCUAAUUAAUUAGAGGGAUUGCUAUUAAUUCUCUUACCACAAAUAGUUCCUAUACUGCACUUAAAGUACAAUCAUUGGCAUGAAUUUGCUUAGACAAGAAAAACCCCCCAAAAAUUAAAAGUCUAUAGUCUAUCGAGACUUUUGGUUUUAAAAUAAAAUAAUAAAGAUAUUUUUACUCCCCUUUCCUCUUGGGAGUCACCACAAAGACAUGAGGGAGUAGCAAAAACUAGUGUCAACUUGUAUCAAGUCAAGACAUGGUUAGCCAGGACUAGCCCCAUUAAAGACAGAGAAGAUGACACGGGAAGGAGGAAUUCACAGCUGCAUCAUUCUUAUCUAAACUGCAUCCCCACAUAGCCUCCUUGUGUGUCUUUAUGUCUUCACAUGACCCUCCUAUGUGGACACAAAUCUUUUGGUCAGGCCUCACCCUAAUCUUGUGUGAUCCCACUUGAUUCCAUCUGCAAAAGUCCUGUUUCUAAGUAAGGCCACUUUCACAGGCACCAGGUAUUAGGACUUUGACAUAAAUUUGGGAUGACACAGUUCAACCCACAACAGCACGUAACCCAAGUGAGAAACAGACUCGUCACAGCACACGGAGCUCAGGAGCCACAGGUGCCAUGAACCAUUGACAGGAGGAAUGUCACAUCCAGCUAAAAGUGGGGGAUGAUGGUAAAGAAAUCCCACCACCACCCAGGUAGCACAGCUCCCAAGUCCAAACCAUCCUGCUGCACUUCCCUCCCUCCCUUUCCUCCAGUCCCCCAGGAGGUGAGAAGUACCGGUACUUUUUGGAAAAAUUGUGCCAGAGGAGUUCCCAUUGUGGCUCAGGGGAAAUGAACCUGACUAGCAUCCAUGAGGACACAGGUUCAAUCUCUGGCCUCACUCAGUGGGCUAAGAAUCUGGCUUUGUCAUGAACUGUGGUGUAGGUCACAGAUGCGGCUCUGAUCCCGUGUUGCUGUGGCUGUGGCUGGCAACUGCAGCUCUGAUU
rnacentral:lncRNA from 1 species